rnacentral:rRNA from 1 species
AUUGAACGCUGGCGGCAUGCCUUACACAUGCAAGUCGAACGGCAGCGGGGGAGAAGCUUGCUUUUCCUGCCGGCGAGUGGCGAACGGGUGAGUAAUACAUCGGAACGUGCCCUGUAGUGGGGGAUAACUAGUCGAAAGAUUAGCUAAUACCGCAUACGACCUGAGGGUGAAAGUGGGGGACCGCAAGGCCUCAUGCUAUAGGAGCGGCCGAUGUCUGAUUAGCUAGUUGGUGGGGUAAAGGCCUACCAAGGCGACGAUCAGUAGCUGGUCUGAAGGGACCAUAAGCCACACUGGGACUGGGGCACGGCCCAGGCUCCUACGGGGGGCAGCAGUGGGGAAUUUUGGACAAUGGGCGAAAGCCUGAUCCAGCAAUGCCGCGUGUGUGAAGAAGGCCUUCGGGUUGUAAAGCACUUUUGUCCGGAAAGAAAUGGCUCUGGUUAAUACCUGGGGUCGAUGACGGUACCGGAAGAAUAAGGACCGGCUAACUACGUGCCAGCCGCCGCCGUAA